rnacentral:tRNA from 1 species
AAGGCUUUAGCUUAAUUAAAGUAUAUGCUUUGCACGCAUAAGAUGUGGGAUAAUAUCCCGCAAGUCUUA